rnacentral:rRNA from 1 species
AGGACGAACGCUGGCGGCGUGCCUAACACAUGCAAGUCGAGCGGGGACAUUAACAGAACGGAAGUUUCGGACGGAAGGGAAGAUAAGUGUUCUAGCGGCGGACGGGUGAGUAACGCGUGAGCAACCUGUCCUUCACAGGGGGAUAACACAGCGAAAGUUGUACUAAUACCGCAUAAGACCACGGUACCGCAUGGUGCAGGGGUCAAAGGAGGAAUCCGGUGAAGGGUGGGCUCGCGUCCGGAUUAGAUAGUUGGUGAGGUAACGGCCCACCAAGUCAACGAUCGGUAGCCGACCUGAGAGGGUGAUCGGCCACAUUGGGACUGAGACACGGCCCAAACUCCUACGGGAGGCAGCAGUGGGGAAUAUUGGGCCAAUGGGGGAAACCCUGACCCAGUAACGCCGCGUGAGGGAAGAAGGUUUUCGGAUCGUAAACCUCUGUCCUAGGUGAAGAGGAAGAGACGGUAGCCUAGGAGGAAGCCCCGGCUAACUACGUGCCAGCCGCCGC